GAAUCGCUUCCGGCAAUGAAUCGAAGCCGCUUUAAUCGAUACAAAUCAGUAGGAAGCUUUUCGAGUAAAUUAUUUUUUUACCUCAGGCAAACGGGCGACAGCCGAAGACUUUAAAGAUUAACAAAUACAAAGUUUUUAACUUUACAUCUUGAACCAUGGUGUGACUCAUAAUAAAGGCGUGCACGUACGUGGGCAGGAGGAUCGCGGGCGCCCUCAGAGACCGCGAUGGCACCCAGGAGGCUCGCUCCGAGCGUCCGGGCAGCGUCGCUCCCUCACCCACGGUCGCCCAGGGAGGUGGAGGCUACCCACAGGGGCCCAUCGACUCGCCAAGACUCCGGGUAGAGGCGUCCAGCGGGGAGCCCACAGGGCCUGUCUGCAAAACCUGACCCUAGCCUCGCCUCGUGAAUGUUCAUGAGUGGGCCGGACCCUGAUGAAUAUUCAUGAGUGGGUGAGCCCUGAUGAAUAUUCAUGAGUGGGCAAGCCCUGAUGAAUGUUCAUGAGUGGGCCGGACCCUGAUGAAUAUUCAUGAGUGGGCCAGACCCUGAUGAAUAUUCAUGAGUGGGCUGGACCCUGAUGAAUAUUCAUGAGUGGGCCACGCCUCGUGAAUAUU